AAUGAACGCUGGCGGCAGGCCUAACACAUGCAAGUCGAGCGAAGUCUUCGGACUUAGCGGCGGACGGGUGAGUAACGCGUGGGAACAUACCCUUUGGUACGGAAUAGCCUCGGGAAACUGGGAGUAAUACCGUAUGUGCCCUUCGGGGGAAAGAUUUAUCGCCAAAGGAUUGGCCCGCGUUGGAUUAGGUAGUUGGUGGGGUAAUGGCCUACCAAGCCGACGAUCCAUAGCUGGUUUGAGAGGAUGAUCAGCCACACUGGGACUGAGACACGGCCCAGACUCC
rnacentral:rRNA from 2 species